rnacentral:rRNA from 1 species
GACGGAGGAUGCAAGUGUUAUCCGGAAUCACUGGGCGUAAAGGGUCUGUAGGUGGUUUCCUAAGUCUGCUGUUAAAGCUUGAAGCUCAACUUCAAAAAAUGCAUCAGAAACUAGAAGACUUGAGUAUGGUAGGGGUAGAGGGAAUUUCCAGUGAAGUGGUGAAAUGCGUAGAUAUUGGAAAGACCACCAAAGGCGAAGGCACUCUACUGGGCCACAACUGACACUGAGAGACGAAAGCUAGGGGAGCGAAUGGG